rnacentral:rRNA from 1 species
GAGGGCGCUUACCACUUUGUGAUUCAUGACUGGGGUGAAGUCGUAACAAGGUAACCGUAGGGGAACCUGCGGUUGGAUCACCUCCUUACCUGAAAGAA